GCCAGCAACAGCAGCAGAGAAACAACAGAGAAACUCUUGCCAGAAUCAUAGAACCCGGCCUUAGCUUUAUCUUUAUGCUUUAAUUUGAUUCCUUAACUCAUAUACGAUAGCGACAGUUUUUCGUUUACCAGCGUCAGAAUCAUAGGUUGCAAUCUGUGACACUGUCAACGUAGUGAUUUUCUUUUGUGAGCUCCGCAUUGUAGGCAGUGUUAUCCGGUUUGAGUUUUGACCACUGGGAAUUAUAAAGAACAUGGAAGCCUUGCGUCCAAGAGAUGAAAUCCAGAAAAGAACAGGGUCAGGAUCAUAUCCUUGGGAUAAGCUCAAGGAUUUUGGAUUUUAUCUUCCUGGUUCCAGUGAAGCACAAUCCUUAUAUUAUUAUUGAAAUGUUAAAAGGAAUUCCAUAGUUGAGAUCAUCGACCUUGUUAAUGGAGGCGAUGGUUUGGGCCCACCUACACGGAAGCCAAAGUUCGCCAUUAGGAUUUUCAAUGUAUCUUUUUCUAGGCGAUUGAUGUUAUAAAUCAAAAAUGAGGUUUAAGAAUGAGA